rnacentral:rRNA from 1 species
UACAGAGGUGGCAAGCGUUGUUCGGAAUUACUGGGCGUAAAGGGCGCGUAGGCGGCCAUCUAAGUCAGACGUGAAAUCCCCCGGCUUAACCUGGGAACUGCGUCUGAUACUGGACGGCUUGAGUAUGGGAGAGGGAUGUAGAAUUCCAGGUGUAGCGGUGAAAUGCGUAGAUAUCUGGAGGAAUACCGGUGGCGAAGGCGGCAUCCUGGACCAUUACUGACGCUGAUGCGCGAAAGCGUGGGGAGCAAACGGG